GACGAACGCUGGCGGCGUGCUUAACACAUGCAAGUCGAACGAAGAGCGAUGGAAGCUUGCUUCUAUCAAUCUUAGUGGCGAACGGGUGAGUAACGCGUAAUCAACCUGCCCUUCAGAGGGGGACAACAGUUGGAAACGACUGCUAAUACCGCAUACGAUCUAAUCUCGGCAUCGAGGAUGGAUGAAAGGUGGCCUCUAUGUAUAAGCUAUCACUGAAGGAGGGGAUUGCGUCUGAUUAGCUAGUUGGAGGGGUAACGGCCCACCAAGGCGAUGAUCAGUAGCCGGUCUGAGAGGAUGAACGGCCACAUUGGGACUGAGACACGGCCCAGACUCCUACGGGAGGCAGCAGUGGGGAAUCUUCCGCAAUGGACGAAAGUCUGACGGAGCAACGCCGCGUGAGUGAUGACGGCCUUCGGGUUGUAAAGCUCUGUUAAUCGGGACGAAAGGCCUUCUUGCGAAUAGUGAGAAGGAUUGACGGUACCGGAAUAGAAAGCCACGGCUAACUACGUGCCAGCAGCCGCGGUAAUACGUAGGUGGCAAGCGUUGUCCGGAAUUAUUGGGCGUAAAGCGCGC
rnacentral:rRNA from 1 species